GACAUGCAAGUGGUAGGAACGUGAAAGGGACGACCUUCGGGAGCUUGCACAGGUGCUGCAUGGCUGUCGUCAGCUCGUGUCGUGAGAUGUUCGGUUAAGUCCGCUAACGAGCGCAACCCUCACUGUGUGUUAUAUGUGUCACACGGGACUGCCGGUUUUAAGCCGGAGGAGUGGGAUGACGUCAAGUCAGCAUGGCCUUUAUAUCCUGGGCUACACACACGCUACAAUGGUCGGUACAAUAGGUUGCCAAGCCGCGAGGCGGAGCCAAUCCAAAAAAGCCGGCCUCAGUCCAGAUUGUAGGCUGCAACUCGCCUGCAUGAAGAUGGAGUUGCUAGUAACCGCAGGUCAGCAAUACUGCGGUGAAUACGUUCCCGGGUCUU
rnacentral:rRNA from 1 species